rnacentral:rRNA from 1 species
AUACGGAGGAUCCGAGCGUUAUCCGGAUUUAUUGGGUUUAAAGGGUGCGCAGGCGGCCAUUUAAGUCAGCGGUUAAAUCGUGGGGCUCAACCCCAUUCUGCCGUUGAUACUGGGUGGCUUGAUUGCGGUCGAGGUUGGCGGAAUUCGUUGUGUAGCGGUGAAAUGCAUAGAUAUGACGAAGAACACCGAUUGCGUAGGCAGCUGACCAGACCGCAAAUGACGCUCAUGCACGAAAGUGCGGGGAUCGAACAGGACUAGAUACCCUGGUAGUCCGCACAGUAAACGAUGAAUACUUGUUUUCGGCGAUAUAAUGUCGGAGGCAAAGCGAAAGCGAUAAGUAUUCCACCUGGGGAGUACGCCGGCAACGGUGAAACUCAAAUGAAUUGACGGGG